CAGCUGUUGAUCGGAUGAGGGUCCCUUCUUCUACUCAUCUAUAACUAGCUAAAAUACAUAAUAAACUCUUCCUCUAAAUAUUCACCGGAAGAAAAAACGAUUUCGAGAAAAGCAAAUCGGAGGUACUAGGAAGAAUGGCUGCCGUGGUGAAAACCGAGGUUUCUAGUUUGGUGGGGAAGCUUGAGACAGACGUGGAGAUCAAAGCUUCAGCUGGACAGUUCCAUCACAUGUUCGCGAGGAAACCACAUCAUGUCUCCAAAGCAUCUCCCGGAAA